AAAUGCACAUUUUGAUUCGCUGUUAUAAGGGGAAAACUAGAAUUUAAAUUUUAUUUUAUGUAAUUUACCACGAAGAGGCGCAAGGACUACAAAGCUACCCGUCUACUUCACUCAAACACUAAUAUGCAACCCCAAAGCGAUCGGACUCAUGCUGAACAAAUGCCGAACACUUCAAAUGACGAAAUUAUCGCCUGUGGCAUUCCAAAUCCAGCAUUAGAGGAAAGAGUGUUCAGAAAUAUGAGAGAUGCUGCUCACUGGCCACAUAUUCAGAAGGACGCAAAUCGAAAAAGAGUUUCACAAUUGAUGCAGUUGCCCCCAAGAAACACAAACAAGUCGAUUCAAAGAAAUUUCCGCAAAAAAUUGUCACCUCGAGGACACUUCUGAUCUUCAAAAUGAUUAACUGACAAACGGAAAACUAUGUAGAAAAAAAAUAAUAAAGAAGAUUAAACUCAAGAAAGUAUAAAUUGCAAAUAAAUUAUAUAAAAAUUAAAUUAAAUAAGUACUUAAAAA